UCUAGUCAUCAUCACGUCUCUGCCCUCCCCUGCCCCUCCCAGCUCUCAGCAGAUGGUGACCUUCCAAUGUGCACAGAGGAGUGAGGCAGAACACCUGGCUCCCUCAGCCUCUUUCCUCACUGCUUGGAUGCUGCCCUGUUUCUCCAUCAGUUUCUGUUUCCUUCCCUGUUGUCUCCCCCUGGGAAAGGCGGAUCCCUUUACAGGCCUGCUUGAUCUCAUCCUUUCCCACCUCGGAGCCAAGCUGCCAUUAAUUUCUCUUUUUCCCGUCGACUUCUGUUAUUCUUUCCUGUAAGGUUCUUUGCCUUUGCAGAAAACAUGAAGUAUGCUCUUUUCUACUCCUUGGUGAAACAUCCCAGUCUAACUCCUAGUCUUUCAAGACUCCACGGGCAGCCUGUGUCCAGGGAGUCCUUUGGCACCGUUACCUCUCCUUGUCCCAGACCAGGCGCGGGCCCCUCUCCAGUGCUGCCUACCUUGAUCCUAGUCCUUACACACUGUGAUGAGCAAGUGUAUAGUAUUAUCAUCUGCACUAUGAGAACUUCAACAGGAAUAAAAGAAGAUAUGAAAGAUUUAUUAAAUGAUGCUCACAGGAAGCAUCCUGACCAGACCCACCUAUGAAUGACUGCAGGAAGGAAGAAAUGAACACAUCCUCUCUGGAGGCUAUGGGAACCAGGAAAUGUUUGAUUUUACCUCCUCUCCUUUUAGUAUAAAAGAAG